ACACACACACACACACACACACACACACACACACACAUAUCCCAAGACAAAUUCAAACCAACAUGUCAAAACGGCGUUACACUACGGAAGAAACCGUAGAAUUUAUUUUGUCUGGCGGACCGCUUAGCGAUGCAGCGGUGGAUUCCUCAGAUUCUGAAGCUGACAACUGGCAAGGAAGAGGAGUAUGAUCACGGGAUUGAUCCCUUCGAAGAUAAAAAAGACAGAGGAUGAGAGAGGGGAUGCACAAGCCACUGUCCCCAUCAGUAGGCCUCCUUCAAACCGAGAGGGAAAAGAAUGCGGCCAGGAGGGUGCAGCAUCCAGAAAAAAGGCCAAACCAAUGCCAGCCCCCCUGACAGUGAAAGGGAGAGGAAGAGGGAAAGGGAAAAAAACAUCUCUGACCCCAGAAGAGCCAGGAGCUGUUUGGAACGUGCCAGAUACUGCCCAACAACUACCACACUUUUGCCCGAAAAGAGCCCCUGGAGUCCAAGGUUUUGUUGGUGUGGAGUAUACUCCUGCACAAAUAUUUAGAAAUUGUUUUAACAACCAAGCUGUAAAUAUCAUCUGCAAGAACACAAACAAAAAUGCUGAAAAGGAGCAGGCUAAGGGGGAAAAGUUUGUUUGGGAAAGCCGGUAAAAUUCCUCAUGUAUGUCGGCCUUAUGAUGUUCAUGGCACUUCUAAAACUGCUCAAAGUAAGAGACUACUGGAGGAAGGGAUCACACCUGAGUGUUCUCUUUCCUGCUUCUAUCAUGACAAGAGACAGGUUCAUGGCAAUCAGCAGAGCUGUACAUCUGAGCGACCCAGACCAUGAUGAAUCUUGAUACAUUUCCUUUGCUCUUUAUAUAUUUUUCUAAUAUUUUGGUUAUAGUUUGAAGAUCAUUUGCUCUUUGUACUUUUGCACUUUCUAUAUAUUCCUAAUACUUUGUUUAUAGUUUUAAUAUAAUUUGCACUUUGUUAAUUUGCACUUUGAAUUUGUUUCACUGUUUGUGUUUGUAUUUCAAUGUUCAAAUUAUAAUAUAUAUCUCUGAAACAAGUUAUUUUUGUUGCAAUGUCAUCUGUUAUGGUUUAAUUGUUUACUCUCUCAACCUUUUUUUGACAGAAGAAACAUGAUCAGUCAUUUAAAUAUGGAAAUACAUUUCGUUUUAAUUAUUCCAUAUGAUCCUAGGUGUUUUUCAGUGAAAAACGCCUAGGAUAAUAUUGUAAUAAAUAGCUGUAACUUGCUCAGGGAACAUAAUAUGCAGAUGAAAUUUAAUUUGAAAGCCUAAAACAUCUAAAUGCAGCUUUGUAAAUAAUAAAAAAGAAAAUCCCUAUGUUCCUGGCGGAGUAAACAGUAAAAAAACA